CUCUGGCUCUCGUGCCUUCCCCAGACAUCUCACACAGCCGCCGCCGCCGAGGGUUAGGGUUUGUGGCCGGAGAUCCCUCGAUUGGAUUGGAGCGGCCGGCGCGGCGUGGUCGAAUCGAAUCGAAGAGAAGCGAUAGAGAUGGACGCGCAGCGUGCUCUGCUGGACGCGCUGAUGGGGUCGUCGCGGGACCUGACGGAGGAGGAGAAGAAGGAGCACCGGGAGGUGGCGUGGGACGACCCCGACGUGUGCGCCCCCUACAUGGCCCGCUUCUGCCCCCACGACCUCUUCAUCAACACCAAGAGCAACCUCGGAGUAUGCCCAAAGAUCCACGACCCGGCCCUAAAGCAAAGCUUCGAGUCCUCCCCCCGCUACGCCGCCGUCCUCCCCAAAUUCGAGGCUGACCUCGCCCACCGCUGCGAGAGGCUGGUCCAGGACCUGGAUAAGAAGAUCAGGCGCGGCCGCGACAGGCUUGCGCAGGACGUCGUGGAGGUGCCGCCCCCCGCCGCCCAUGCCGAGAAGGUCGAGCAGCUCGCCAUUCUCGAAGACAAGAUCAAGAAGCUGCUCGAGCAGAUUGAGCAGCUCGGCGACACCGGCAAGAUCGACGAGGCCACUGCGCUCAUGAGGAAGGUGGACAUUCUCAACCUCGAGAAGUCGGCUCUGACCCACCAGAUAGAGACCAAGCUCUCCAUGGUCCCGCAAGAGAAGAAGAUGGAGCUCUGCGAGCAGUGCGGCUCCUUUCUCGUCACCAACGACGUCCUUGAGAGGACGCAGUCCCAUGUCACCGGCAAACAACACAUUGGUUAUGGUCUGGUCAGGGAAUUCCUCGCCGAAUACAAGGCUGCGAAAGAAGCGGAGAAGCUUGCAAGGGAGAAGGAAGCAGAGGAGCGUCAGAACCGGGAGAGAGGAUACCAUAACAGAGGCCACCGCGACGACUAUAGGGAGAGAUCCAGGGAGCAUGACCGUGACCGCUACUAUGAGCGAGGAAGCCGUGACAGAGAGAGGCCCUAUGAGCAGGGAGGUAGAGGGUCAGACUAUAGAGGCGGUUCCUAUAACAGCCGCAGGGAUUCUGAAAGGGCGAGGCCCAGAGAUAGGAACGGUGGUGAUUUUUCAAGAAGAGGAGACCCGGGGAGGGUGAGGAGCAGGUCCCGGUCUCCAGGCAGGCAUGGUUAUUAAUCAUUUCAAGUUAUAUGAGACUCAUGAGGUAGACCAUUAUGCUCCUUUGCUUAUUCAUUCAGUCACAAUGUCUGAGUGUUGUCAUGAUUAAAUUUAAACCUUACUCUGCUCUAGCAGCUCUUUGUUGAAACCAUACCCCUAUGGUCUUCCUUUUAUUAUAGAGAGGAUAAAAAACAGAGGAAGUCUAGGAACUGAGAAAAUGUUGUUUGAUAUGAUAAGAGCUGAAAGCCGUAUGAUGAUACUAUCAUCCUAUCCUAUCCUAGGCAGGUAUUCCGUAACCUCUGUCUGUCUUACAUGUUAAAAUGAUUGAUUGAUUGAUGACAUACAAGGUUUGGUUAGGACCUGGAAGAAACACUAGACAGGUAACCUCCAUCUUAUACAUGUUAAAAUGAUUGAUGAUAUAUACAAGGUUGGGUCGGACCGGACCUGGAAGAAACAGUAGGAAGGUAACCCGUAACCUCCAUCUUAUACUACAUGUUAAAAUGGUUGAUGAUACGACCUGGGAGAACAGUAGGAAGGUAACCCGUAACCUCCAUCUUAUACUACAUGUUAAAAUGGUUGAUGAUACGACCUGGGAGAACAGUAGGAAGGUAACCCGUAAUCUCCGUCUUAUACAUGUUAAAAUGAUUGAUGAUAUAUACAAGGCUGGUUCGGACCGGACCUGGAAGAAACAGUAGGAAGGUAAUCCGUCACCUCUGUCUUGCAUGUUAAAAUGGUUGAUGAUACGACCUGGAAGAACAGUAAGCAGGUAACCCGUAACCUGUCUUGCAUGCUGAAUUGAUGACGUAUGGAAGGUUGGGUGGGACCUGGAAAAUUCAGGUAACAUUAUAGUAGAGCGGUUUCUGAAUGCCUAGUCUUGUACGUACAAGAUUUAAUUUGCACUGCCAGUACAGAUUCUGUGUACUGCGCCAGGCCUUUCUUCUUGACAGAUUUUAAGAAAUGACAUUGACUAGUAUCUGCAGUAGGUGUAUGGUACAAUCGUUAAACACGUGGAUUAUUAGGUGUGAUAUGAUGAAAAUUACUAUCGUACAGGGUUGGGUAGGACCUGGAAGAAACAGUAGGCAGGUAACCCGUAACCUCUGUCUUGCAUGUUAAACUGAUGAUGAUAUAUGCAAGGUUGGUUUGUUUAGGACCUGGAAAAUUCAGGUUAACAUUAUAGGAUAUAUGCAAGGUUUCUGAAGGCCCAGUCUUGUACAAGAUUUAAUUUGCACCGCCAGGCAUUUCUUGUCGACAGAUUUUAAGAGAUGACAUUGACUAGUAUCUGCAGUAGGUGUAUCGUACAAUCGUUAAAACACGAGGAUGGCCGACAUUGGGAUUUCUUUCAGUCUAGGAACUGAAAAAUUGUUGUGCGAUAGAGCUGAACGUCUUGAGAUGAUGAUAGCACUAUCAUAUCAUCCUAGGCAGUGCAGUGCAGGUAACCCGUAACCUCUGUCUGUCUGUCUGUCUGGCUUGCAUGUUUAAUAAUUGAAGUUGACAUAGAUACAUGGCUGGGUAAGGAGGGGACCUGGAAGAGUGAUUUUUUGGCAGAAGAACAAGAGGAUUGGAUGGUCAACUUGGGACUUGUUUGGUACAUCAACCAGAAGAAUGAAUUCCAGUGAGUGUUGUUGGCCGGUGCAUGCCACAGAGAUGAAUGCUACUCCCUCCGUUCCACAAUACAUGCCUUCCCUCUGUCAAAAUAUAGAUGUAUCUAGACAUGUUUUAGUAUAUAGGUACAUUCAUUUUUGGACAAAUGAAAAUCAAGUAUUUUGGAACGGAGGGAGUAGAUUUCAAUUACUUUCCAGUGAGUGUUGUUGGCCGGUGCAUGCCACAGAGAUGAAUGCUAGAUUUCAAUUACAGAAUCACCCUUUUGGGCGUCGAGAAUUCUGCUCGACGGUUGAGAGUUGAAUUUGAGCUUUGAGCGGACUUGAAACGUUUUGGAGUAUGUUCAAGUUGUAUUUUCUGUUCUCGCAAACACAGGCGUACGUACCAAGUGACGUGCGAUGUGAUUAUAUAUACGUAUAUAGAAACAGGCUUGAAACAUUUUCUGGCGGUA